GGUUAAACUUUCCCGAAAGUUUCAUUCAGAUCCAGUAGAUUAGUGUUGAAUGGUCCUCAUAUCCACACCCUACUCCAGAUCUUCACAAUUAGUAAUGGUCCUCAUAUCCACACCCUACUCCAGAUCUUCACAAUUAGUAAUUUCUUCACUGAACCAUGACAAACUAUUCUUGAAAGUUUCAUUUAGAUCCAUUGAUAACAUUUUUUUCAAAUAUUUAGGUCUGGGACGUUAGAAAUGUAAAUGACCCUCACCUUCACACCCGAAUCUGGAUCUUACUUGUACCUUCUUUAAACUUUCACGAAAGUUCCAUUAAGAUCAGUGGAUUAUUUUUUGAAAUAUCUGGUCUAGAACCUUUUUCUUUGAAUGGUCUUCAUAUAUCCACACCCCACUCCGGAUAGUAAUCAUAAAGUAAUAAUUUCUUCAUUGGAUCAUGAAAAACUCUUAUGAAAAGUUUCAGUUAGAUCUAUUUAUAGGUUUUUUUUUUUAUAGAUAUUUAGGUCUGGGAAAUUUAAAUGACUCUCAAAUUUACAAGCUAAACUAGACUGUCAGCAGAACAUAAUAUUUCUUCCUUGUAACUUGGUUAAACUUUCCCAAAAGUUCCAUUCAGAUUAGCUGACCCGUUAAAAUUUGUCCUCAUAUCCACACCCCACUCUAGAUUGUCGCUAAAUUUUAGGAGGCACAUCUUUGAUAUAUGAUCUAUGCUUGGACAAAGUCUUAAAACGAUCCAAGUGAAAGUGACCAAAGUGCCGGCUGGAAUAACCCAGUAAAAAACACAAUAUGUAAGAAAAUAAAAAUCCGAACAAAAACGAAGGCUUUUCCAACUACUGCUGGGAAAAGCUAACAAUAAUGAUGAUGAUGAUAAUAAUAAUAAUAAUAAUAAUAAUAAUAUUAAUAAUAAUAAUAAUAAUAAUAAUAAAUUGAAGUGUAUAAGAGGUGUUAACAAAAAGAAUUCGCUAAGUGGCAAAUAAGGAAGUUGAAUUGGAGAUAAAUAACGUUUCAGAGAAA